rnacentral:rRNA from 1 species
GACGAACGCUGGCGGCGUGCUUAACACAUGCAAGUCGAACGGAAAGGCCCUGCUUUUGUGGGGUGCUCGAGUGGCGAACGGGUGAGUAACACGUGAGUAACCUGCCCUUGACUUUGGGAUAACUUCAGGAAACUGGGGCUAAUACCGGAUAGGAGCUCCUGCUGCAUGGUGGGGGUUGGAAAGUUUCGGCGGUUGGGGAUGGACUCGCGGCUUAUCAGCUUGUUGGUGGGGUAGUGGCUUACCAAGGCUUUGACGGGUAGCCGGCCUGAGAGGGUGACCGGCCACAUUGGGACUGAGAUACGGCCCAGACUCCUACGGGAGGCAGCAGUGGGGAAUAUUGCACAAUGGGCGGAAGCCUGAUGCAGCAACGCCGCGUGCGGGAUGACGGCCUUCGGGUUGUAAACCGCUUUCGCCUGUGACGAAGCGUGAGUGACGGUAAUGGGUAAAGAAGCACCGGCUAGCUACGUGCCAGCAGCCGCGGUGAUACGUAGGGUGCGAGCGUUGUCCGGAUUUAUUGGGCGUAAAGGGCUCGUAGGUGGUUGAUCGCGUCGGAAGUGUAAUCUUGGGGCUUAACCCUGAGCGUGCUUUCGAUACGGGUUGACUUGAGGAAGGUAGGGGAGAAUGGAAUUCCUGGUGGAGCGGUGGAAUGCGCAGAUAUCAGGAGGAACACCAGUGGCGAAGGCGGUUCUCUGGGCCUUUCCUGACGCUGAGGAGCGAAAGCGUGGGGAGCGAACAGGCUUAGAUACCCUGGUAGUCCACGCUGUAAACGGUGGGUACUAGGUGUGGGGUCCAUUCCACGGGUUCCGUGCCGUAGCUAACGCUUUAAGUACCCCGCCUGGGGAGUACGGCCGCAAGGCUAAAACUCAAAGGAAUUGACGGGGCCCCGCACAAGCGGCGGAGCAUGCGGAUUAAUUCGAUGCAACGCGUAGAACCUUACCUGGGUUUGACAUGGAUCGGGAGUGCUCAGAGAUGGGUGUGCCUCUUUUGGGGUCGGUUCACAGGUGGUGCAUGGCUGUCGUCAGCUCGUGUCGUGAGAUGUUGGGUUAAGUCCCGCAACGGGCGCAACCCUUGUUCACUGUUGCCAGCACGUUAUGGUGGGGACUCAGUGGAGACCGCCGGGGUCAACUCGGAGGAAGGUGGGGAUGACGUCAAGUCAUCAUGCCCCUUAUGUCCAGGGCUUCACGCAUGCUACAAUGGCUGGUACAGAGAGUGGCGAGCCUGUGAGGGUGAGCGAAUCUCGGAACGCCGGUCUCAGUUCGGAUUGGGGUCUGCAACUCGACCUCAUGAAGUCGGAGUCGCUAGUAAUCGCAGAUCAGCAACGCUGCGGUGAAUACGUUCCCGGGGCU